AUGGCCUGGACCCCUUUCCUCCUCGGCCUCCUCCCUCACUGCACAGGCUCUGUGGCCUCAUAUGUGCUGACACAGCCACCCUCAGUGUCAGUGGCCCCAGGACAGACACCCAGGAUCACCUGUAGGGGAAAUAAUAUUGGAAUUAAACCUGCUUAAUGGUACCAGCAGAAACCAGGCCAGGCCCUUGUGCAGGUCAUCUAUGGGGAUAGCAGAUGGCCUUCAGGGAUCUCUAAGUGAUUCUCCAGCUCCAACUCGGGGAACAUGGUCACCCUGACCAUCAGUGGAGCCCAGGCUGGGGACGAGGCUUUCCUCUCAGGUGUGGGGCAGUGGCACUGCA